rnacentral:rRNA from 1 species
UUAAGUUAAUAAGGGCGCACGGUGGAUGCCUUGGCACUAGAAGCCGAUGAAGGACGUGACUAACGACGAAAUGCUUUGGGGAGCUGUAAGUGAGCAAUGAUCCAGAGAUGUCCGAAUGGGGGAACCCGGCAGGUAAUGCCUGUCACUCAUUACUGUUAAGGUAAUGUAGAGGAAGACGCAGUGAACUGAAACAUCUAAGUAGCUGUAGGAAGAGAAAGCAAAAGCGAUUGCCUUAGUAGCGGCGAGCGAAACGGCAAGAGGGCAAACCGAAGAGUUUACUCUUCGGGGUUGUAGGACUGCAACGUGGACUUAAAGAUUAUAGAAGAACUACCUGGGAAGGUAGGCCAAAGAGAGUAAUAGCCUCGUAUUCGAAAUAGUCUUUAUACCUAGCAGUAUCCUGAGUACGGCGAGACACGAGAAAUCUCGUCGGAAUCUGGGAGGACCAUCUCCCAACCCUAAAUACUCUCUAGUGACCGAUAGUGAACCAGUACCGUGAGGGAAAGGUGAAAAGCACCCCGGGAGGGGAGUGAAAUAGAACCUGAAACCGUGUGCCUACAACAAGUUCGAGCCCGUUAAUGGGUGAGAGCGUGCCUUUUGUAGAAUGAACCGGCGAGUUACGAUAUGAUGCGAGGUUAAGUUGAAGAAACGGAGCCGUAGGGAAACCGAGUCUUAAUAGGGCGCAUUAGUAUCAUGUCGUAGACCCGAAACCAUGUGACCUACCCAUGAGCAGGUUGAAGGUGAGGUAAAACUCACUGGAGGACCGAACCAGGGCACGUUGAAAAGUGCUUGGAUGACUUGUGGGUAGCGGAGAAAUUCCAAACGAACUUGGAGAUAGCUGGUUCUCUCCGAAAUAGCUUUAGGGCUAGCGUCGAUGUUAAGUCUCUUGGAGGUAGAGCACUGUUUGGGUGAGGGGUCCAUCCCGGAUUACCAAUCUCAGAUAAACUCCGAAUGCCAAUGAGAUAUAAUCGGCAGUCAGACUGCGAGUGCUAAGAUCCGUAGUCGAAAGGGAAACAGCCCAGACCACCAGCUAAGGUCCCAAAAUAUAUGUUAAGUGGAAAAGGAUGUGGGGUUGCACAGACAACUAGGAUGUUAGCUUAGAAGCAGCUAUUCAUUCAAAGAGUGCGUAAUAGCUCACUAGUCGAGUGACCCUGCGCCGAAAAUGUACCGGGGCUAAAACAUAUUACCGAAGCUGUGGAUACCUUUAUAGGUAUGGUAGGAGAGCGUUCUAUGUGCGAAGAAGGUGUACCGUGAGGAGUGCUGGAGCGCAUAGAAGUGAGAAUGCCGGUAUGAGUAGCGAAAGACAGGUGAGAAUCCUGUCCACCGUAAGACUAAGGUUUCCAGGGGAAGGCUCGUCCGCCCUGGGUUAGUCGGGACCUAAGGAGAGACCGAAAGGUGUAUCCGAUGGACAACAGGUUGAUAUUCCUGUACUAGAGUAUAUAGUGAUGGAGGGACGCAGUAGGCUAACUAAACCAGACGAUUGGAAGUGUCUGGCCAAGCAGUGAGGUGUGAUAUGAGUCAAAUGCUUAUAUCUUUAACAUUGAGCUGUGAUGGGGAGCGAAGUUUAGUAGCGAAGUUAGUGAUGUCACACUGCCGAGAAAAGCUUCUAGCGUUAAUUAUACUCUACCCGUACCGCAAACCGACACAGGUAGUCGAGGCGAGUAGCCUCAGGUGAGCGAGAGAACUCUCGUUAAGGAACUCGGCAAAAUGGCCCCGUAACUUCGGGAGAAGGGGCGCUGACUGAUGGUCAGCCGCAGUGAAUAGGCCCAAGCAACUGUUUAUCAAAAACACAGCUCUCUGCUAAAUCGUAAGAUGAUGUAUAGGGGGUGACGCCUGCCCGGUGCUGGAAGGUUAAGAGGAGUGCUUAGCGUAAGCGAAGGCAUGAAUUGAAGCCCCAGUAAACGGCGGCCGUAACUAUAACGGUCCUAAGGUAGCGAAAUUCCUUGUCGGGUAAGUUCCGACCCGCACGAAAGGCGUAAUGAUUUGGGCACUGUCUCAACGAGAGACUCGGUGAAAUUUUAGUACCUGUGAAGAUGCAGGUUACCCGCGACAGGACGGAAAGACCCCAUGGAGCUUUACUGCAGUUUGAUAUUGAGUAUCUGUACCACAUGUACAGGAUAGGUAGGAGCCUAUGACCUCGGGACGCCAGUUUCGAGUGAGGCGUUGUUGGGAUACUACCCUUGUGUUAUGGCUACUCUAACCCAGAUAGGUUAUCCCUAUCGGAGACAGUGUCUGACGGGCAGUUUGACUGGGGCGGUCGCCUCCUAAAAGGUAACGGAGGCGCCCAAAGGUUCCCUCAGAAUGGUUGGAAAUCAUUCGCAGAGUGUAAAGGUAUAAGGGAGCUUGACUGCGAGAGCUACAACUCGAGCAGGGACGAAAGUCGGGCUUAGUGAUCCGGUGGUUCCGUAUGGAAGGGCCAUCGCUCAACGGAUAAAAGCUACCCUGGGGAUAACAGGCUUAUCUCCCCCAAGAGUUCACAUCGACGGGGAGGUUUGGCACCUCGAUGUCGGCUCGUCGCAUCCUGGGGCUGUAGUCGGUCCCAAGGGUUGGGCUGUUCGCCCAUUAAAGCGGCACGCGAGCUGGGUUCAGAACGUCGUGAGACAGUUCGGUCCCUAUCCGUCGCGGGCGUAGGAAAUUUGAGAGGAUCUGCUCCUAGUACGAGAGGACCAGAGUGGACUUACCGCUGGUGUACCAGUUGUUCUGCCAAGAGCAUCGCUGGGUAGCUAUGUAGGGAAGGGAUAAACGCUGAAAGCAUCUAAGUGUGAAGCCCACCUCAAGAUGAGAUUUCCCAUGAUUUUAUAUCAGUAAGAGCCCUGAGAGAUGAUCAGGUUGAUAGGUUAGAAGUGGAAGUGUGGUGACACAUGUAGCGGACUAAUACUAAUAGCUCGAGGACUUAUCCAA